AAUUCCUUUAUAGAUACGGACCGGCGUUUUCGGUAGGCUAGCAGUAAGGUUUGGGGUGUUGAUUUCCAUUUUGUCCAGGGCUAUGUGAUUACGGUUAGGGUUUGUAAGAUGUGGAUGUUUUGCUUCUUGUUGUUUCCUUUGUUUUCCGAUGGGUUUCCUUGCUUCCUUGUUGUUUCCGAUGAACUUAGUUGGCGGCGAUUUUAAUUCCUGAUAUCUCACAUUGUCUGCUGGUGGAUUGUUGUCUUUGAGUGAGUCUUGAUGAGUUCUGGUUCUUGGUGUUGAUAUGCAAAUAGGUUUUUGAAUAGCUAAUGGCUUCCUUGCAUAUGUUUUUGAUUUACUGCUAGAUACAGGUAUGGGUUUGUUGCAUUUGAGAGGGGGGUCUCUGUGAGUUCUGAACUUGGGUUUUGAUGCAUAAUUUGGUCCUGUUCAGUUUUCAUUCUUUUUUUUUUUCAUUGUUAGGAUUUGCUGCAUUUGAAUUUCUGCAUUAGUAAAGACACAAGCCUUGUUGAGGGAGUGGGAAGUGAGCAUUAGAUGAGGUGAGGAGAUUAGUACCCAAUACCCAAGUUGUGAAGGGGGAUGCGGAGGUGGAGUAGCUGAGGAGCAAUGCAUGACACUAUUUUUUUUUUAGAUUUGAUCGUUCAGUAGUAUGAGUUGGAAACUUUGAGCUGUCUAGAGAGUUUUAUGGAUUUUCCAUUUUAAAGAGACAUGAUGAGUUUUGAGGUCCAUAUGAAAUAAUUAGAAACAAAUAGAAUGUCUUCCUUUUGAUGCAUGAUUUUAGCGUAUUUGAUGGGAA